AUACGGAGGGGGCUAGCGUUGUUCGGAAUUACUGGGCGUAAAGCGUACGCAGGCGGAUUGUUAAGUUAGAGGUGAAAUCCCAGGGCUCAACCCUGGAACUGCCUUUAAAACUGGCAAUCUAGAGUUAUGGAGAGGUAAGUGGAAUUCCUAGUGUAGAGGUGAAAUUCGUAGAUAUUAGGAGGAACACCAGAGGCGAAGGCGGCUUACUGGACAUAUACUGACGCUGAGGUACGAAAGUGUGGGGAGCGAACGGGAUUAGAAACCCGAGUAGUCC
rnacentral:rRNA from 1 species